UAGAAAAAUUAUAACAAAUUACAAGGGUUGUUUGAACCAAGCGCUGUGUUAUCAAGACAGUUGUUCUGAUGACCAAGAUAGCUACUAAGUGACUAAUGGGUGGGGAGUGAAUAGAAUGUGGAGACACUGGACAAAGGGGUGAUUCAGGUCCCAGGCAAGAUGGAGCAAGAUGGUGCGAGAUUUCAUCACACUACCCAGAAAGGGUGAAGGUAUGGAUCCUUUUCUGGAUUUGCAAUUAAAGUGGAUGUGUCGUCCCACUUUCUCAUCUACGUAACUGAGGAGUCAAAGAGAGCCACGAGAAGACACAGAGACACAGGAGAAAGCCAUGUGAAGAGGAAAGCAGAGAUUGGAGUGAUGCAGCCACAAGCCAAGGAACACCUGAGGCUACCAGAAGCUGGAAGAAGAGAGGAAGGAUCCUCCCCAAGAGGCUUCAGAGAGCAUGACACAUUGAUUUCAGACUUCCAGCCUCCAGAACUUCUUUGUGAAGGCUGAACAAAAGUGGAGAAAUUUGCUGGUCUGGAGACUCAUUGUGGGAAAAUUCACAGAGGUGUGGAACACUUGUGUGGGGUAAGGAUUAGGACUGUGCAAUCAGACCACCUGGGUUCAAAUCCUGACUCUAUGU